UUGGCCAUCUAAAAAGGUACUAGAAAUGACAUAAUGUGAUAAUUAGGAACAUUUUUAUUAGGCAAGGCAACUGAUUGCAUGGUUUACAUUUCUAGCAGCUUUGCUAUGUCACUUUGAUUUGGAGGAAAUUGGAGUGAAAGAAAAGCCAGUAGCUAACUGCUCCCCAAAGUACUGAAAAACUGUAGUGUAAAGCAAGCAGAAAUGAUUCAGGGGAUUUCUCUGCAGAGGACUUUAAAGGACUGCUUGGAACAUCAUGAACAUGCAGUAGCUUGCUUUUCCUGUUGAGAAACAGUAUUAUUGAAGAAAGUAAAACAAAUAAGAUUAGAGACAGAAAAUGAGGCAGGAACUAGAUAGCACCCCAUGCAGAGGAAUUGGUUACCUGCCCAGAUGCAUGCAGAGAGGUCAGUUAAGUGGCCAUGAGUAGAUAAAAAAGCUUUGUUGCCUGAAGCAACUGCAAGUGAAUAUGGAAGAGGCCAUUGCUCUCAGGGUACUUAUCAGAGUGGCUUAUUUCUCCAUGCUUUGAAAUAGUGCUGCUCUGCAGACCAGGUAAUCAUGACUAUGGGAGACUGUUUCCUGUCUUUGCUUCUGUGAGCAGAUAAAGAUA